GACGAACGCUGGCGGCGUGCUUAACACAUGCAAGUCGAACGGAAAGGCCAGGCUUUUGUGGGGUGCUCGAGUGGCGAACAGGUGAGUAACACGUGAGUAACCUGCCCUUGACUUUGGGAUAACUUCAGGGAACUGGGGCUCAUACCCGGUAUGAUCUCCUGCUGCAUGGGGGGGGUUGGAAAGUUUCGGCGGUUGGGGCUGGACUCGCGGCUUAUCAGCUUGUUGGUGGGGUAGGUGCUGACCAAGGGUUUGACGGGUAGCCGGCAUGAGAGGGUGAACGGCCACAUGGGGACUGCGAUACGGACCAGACGGGUACGGGAGGCAGCAGUGGAGAACAUUGCACAACGGGCGGAAGCCUGAUGCAGCAACGCUGGGUGCGGGAUGACGGCCUUCGGGUUGUAAACCGCUUUCGCCUGUGACGAAGAGUGAGUGACGGUAAUGGGUAAAGAAGCAACGGCUAACUACGUG
rnacentral:rRNA from 1 species